AAUAUAUACAAUUUAGACACAUCAAACAUAAUAAAAAUUAAAGAAGGAAGAGGUGACAAGGGUUAUCCCACCAGGAGGAUCCUACCGGUUCAUAGGAACUCUGACUUUGGGGACUUAGCACACAAGAUGCCAUAAUUGCCAUUGAUCACGGUGUCUAAAGGAUUAAUGACAGACAGUGGGGGAAUUGCCAAUCCCAGUCAUUAGAGAUUGCUAAGCAGUCCUUGAUGAAUGAUCAUAAUAUGAUAUUUCUAUUAAUACGGUAUGUGUACCAUAGAGGAAGAGAUGGACAUCAUCUACGGAGUUUGGCAACAAAUGUUAAAAAGUUGUACUACAAAGCUAAUUUUAUCCUCUUUUUUUUAUUGUUUACUGUACAUUUUCUAACGCCUGAUGGAAACAUCAUAGCUUUCAUUUUGUAUGGGUGGUUUUAACAUUCUCAGUGAUCUUUGGCUAUUAAAAGUUUCUUUUCUUUGGAAUUAUCUUUCUGUGAACUACUUUAAUCUUUAAUGUUGACUCACAGCAAUGAUUUUUCAGCCUUCAAUGUAUGAUGUUACAGAAUAUCCUUCUCAGUUAAUAAAAAAAAGUUCUUUAGUUUCUUGACCUAUUAGACAAAUAACAAGCUGAUAUUGUAUAUCCUUCUUAAUCUAUGUGAAAUGUUUUUUUCUCUAGACUUCAUAUUGUACAUAAUAAAAUGUGUGUACUCAGUAGAUCGAUUGAUAUAAACAGAAAGGAGACCAUUCUUUUUUAUGCAA